GCGUAGGUGGCAAGCGUUGUCCGGAAUUAUUGGGCGUAAAGCGCGCGCAGGCGGUCCUUUAAGUCUGAUGUGAAAGCCCACGGCUCAACCGUGGAGGGUCAUUGGAAACUGGGAGACUUGAGUGCAGAAGAGAAGAGCGGAAUUCCACGUGUAGCGGUGAAAUGUGUAGAGAUGUGGAGGAACACCAGUGGCGAAGGCGGCUCUUUGGUCUGUAACUGACGCUGAGGCGCGAAAGCGUGGGGAGCAAACAGGA
rnacentral:rRNA from 1 species